UACGUAGGGGGCAAGCGUUGUCCGGAUUUAUUGGGCGUAAAGAGCGUGUAGGCGGCCAGACAGGUCCGUUGUGAAAACUCGAGGCUCAACCUCGAGACGCCGAUGGAAACCGUCUGGCUAGAGUCCGGAAGAGGAGAGUGGAAUUCCUGGUGUAGCGGUGAAAUGCGCAGAUAUCUGGGGGAAGGCCGGCGGCGAAGGCGCUAUUCUGGGAAAUUCCUGACACUGAGGCACGAAAGCGUGGGGAGCAAACAGG
rnacentral:rRNA from 1 species